AAAUUCUUACAUAUAUAACCUUUAACUGCUGCAGAAGAGGAUCAGCCGUUUGAAAUGUCAGCAGACUCACACCUCCUUGGGAAGUUCCAGAUUGGUUAUUACACACAAAUCUGCCAGAGUUUGCAGCAAAGGAGGAAUGAGGAGGAGGAACUGCACUUCAAAUCGUGUGGAAAGAUCAAUUAAAUCAGAGUCAUGACACUGCUGGGCUCUUGCAAAAGAAAGACUACAUCAGACUGAUGUCCAGCGGUGAUGAAGUCUUUACUAAGGUUACCGCAACUUUGAAACAUCUCAUAGCACCAUGUUGUUCAAAACAUAGCCCAC